GCUGGCGGCAGGCCUAACACAUGCAAGUCGAACGGUCCCUCGGGAUAGUGGCGGACGGGUGAGUAACACGUGGGAACGUACCCUUAGGUUCGGAACAACACAGGGAAACUUGUGCUAAUACCGGAUAAGCCCUUCGGGGGAAAGAUUUAUCGCCUUUGGAGCGGCCCGCGUCUGAUUAGCUUGUUGGUGAGGUAAUGGCUCACCAAGGCUACGAUCAGUAGCUGGUCUGAGAGGAUGGCCAGCCACACUGGGACUGAGACACGGCCCAGACUCCUACGGGAGGCAGCAGUGGGGAAUCUUGCGCAAUGGGCGAAAGCCUGACGCAGCCAUGCCGCGUGGAUGAUGAAAAUCUUAGGAUUGUAAAAUCCUUUCACCGGGGACGAUAAUGACGGUACCCGGAGAAGAAGCCCCGGCUAACUUCGUGCCAGCAGCCGCGGUAAUACGAAGGGGGCUAGCGUUGCUCGGAAUUACUGGGCGU
rnacentral:rRNA from 1 species